GAUCUAAAACAAACUUUGAUUUGAAAUCAAAACUAGGAAAACUAAUUCCAAAGAUCU
rnacentral:tRNA from 1 species